UGCAUCGGCCGGGAAUCGAACCCUUGGGCGCCCGCGUGGCAGGUGAGCAUUUUACCACUGAACCAAAAGC
rnacentral:tRNA from 1 species